rnacentral:tRNA from 1 species
GCCUUUUUGCUCAGUGGUUAGAGCAUAGGCCUGCAGACUGAAGGGUCGCAGGUUCAGUUCCUGUCAAGGGCA